rnacentral:misc_RNA from 1 species
AGUAUGGUCACUGGGAAGUCGUUCAGAUUCUCAUUCUUUUCAUGGCCAAUAUUCAUAAGGCUGAUUAUCUCAACGGGGGUACAUCACUUCAUUUAGCUGCUCUAAAUGGACAUUCUCGAUGUAUACGGCUUCUCCUUGCUGAUUAUAUUCCCAGCAUCCCUAAUUUCUGCAAUGUCAUGAGAAAGAGAUCAAAAAACGAAGACUCUAUCCAAGAAU